rnacentral:rRNA from 1 species
GACAUGCAAGUCGAACGGGAUUUUUUCCUGUAGCAAUACAGGAAAAAGUCUAGUGGCGAACGGGUGCGUAACACGUGAGCAACCUGCCGUGAAGUGGGGGAUAGCUCGCCGAAAGGCGAAUUAAUACCGCAUGUGGCCAAGGAAGACAUCUUCCUGACGCCAAAGCCGGGGCAACCUGGCGCUUCUCGAGGGGCUCGCGGCCUAUCAGCUUGUUGGUGAGGUAACGGCUCACCAAGGCUAUGACGGGUAGCUGGUCUGAGAGGACGACCAGCCACACUGGAACUGAGACACGGUCCAGACACCUACGGGUGGCAGCAGUCGAGAAUUUUUCACAAUGGGGGAAACCCUGAUGGAGCGACGCCGCGUGGAGGAUGAAGGUUUUCGGAUUGUAAACUCCUGUCAUUAGAGAACAAGGCACACGGUUUCACUGACCGUGUGUUGAUAGUAUCUGAAGAGGAAGAGACGGCUAACUCUGUGCCAGCAGCCGCGGUAAUACAGAGGUCUCAAGCGUUGUUCGGAUUCAUUGGGCGUAAAGGGUGCGUAGGUGGCGAUGUAAGUCGGAUGUGAAAUCUCCAAGCUUAACUUGGAAACUGCAUUCGAUACUGCGUUGCUAGAGGACUGUAGAGGGCAUUGGAAUUCACGGUGUAGCAGUGAAAUGCGUAGAUAUCGUGAGGAAGACCAGUGGCGAAGGCGAAUGCCUGGGCAGUUCCUGACACUGAGGCACGAAGGCCAGGGGAGCAAACGGGAUUAGAUACCCCGGUAGUCCUGGCAGUAAACGGUGCACGUUUGGUGUGGGAGGAUUCGACCCCUUCCGUGCCGGAGCAAACGCGUUAAACGUGCCGCCUGGGGAGUACGGUCGCAAGAUUAAAACUCAAAGAAAUUGACGG